rnacentral:lncRNA from 1 species
CACUUUUUGAUUGGAGAGAGGUACUUUGCUUGGACUGAGUGGAGAUUGUGGAAAAGCUGGAGCAGGACCUGAAAUUGGAGUUGGAGCAGAAGAGGGCUCGGCAACCAUUCUUUUUCUGCGCACAUCUUCCUCUAACCCUCGAAUAGAUUUUGUUCUCUACGGUAGCUUUGAUUUGGGAGCCAUUUUGGAUAGAAGAGACUUGCAAAUAGCUUAGGAGAGUUGAUGAGUGGUAGAGUGGAAGAGAUUUUAAGGAAAAGCAAAGAUUUUGGGGGGAUAGA